GCUUCAGUAGCUCAGCAGGUAGAGCAUCUGGCUGUUAACCAGGAGGUCGAAGGUUCGAGUAAGCCUUUUAUUGGGU
rnacentral:tRNA from 1 species